ensembl:lncRNA SPAG5-AS1 SPAG5 antisense RNA 1
ACCCAUGGGGGCCCCAAUGUCUACAGUUCUCAGCUCCCUAACUUCUUGGACUUGUUGGCACUUCUUAUUGAGACUCUUUCUCAGACAAAGGGAAAAAAGCACUUAACUCUACCUUCACAUCUCGAUGCAUGAUGCCCAAGUCAUGGAGAUAACCUGUGGAUAACAAGUAUGGGUACCAGCACCAACUCGGCAGCAAAGAGACGGAUGGAAGCCUCAGGAAAGCAGCCAACAGCCGACCAAAGGGAGUACAGAUCUGUGCUGCAGUAGCUACACACUGCAAAGCCAGUGUGGAGCUACAUACAUUGCCAGAAGUCUAGGCAAUGUUUGGGAGCUGCAAUGCCUGGGCUCAAGGCAUUGUAGGCCUCCUGCCCAAACUGAUACCACCUGCUGUUCCCCUCCCUUUGGGACAGAGAGGUGCCAUGAGAAGGGGGACAGAGCAAAGGCAGAACAAGCCAAAGAGAAUGGACUUAGAGGAAACCGAAGAAAUCCCAAGCCACACCAAACAGGACCUCAAGACUCUCCCAUUUUUCUAUCAUCAGGGGCAUGUUUGGUACCUCUGGCGAUUUGCGAAAUGACCUUCUGACCCCAGAACUCCGAGUCAAACCCUGUGCCACACCCUUCCCAGGGCCCAGUGGUACUGCAUCAUCUGUUGCAAUCAGCUGCCGAGGCUUCACCACUGGUAUUCCUAUGAAAAAGCAAGUGUACCAGCUGUCAUCCAUCCUCGUUCUGAAGUCUCAGCUGUCUUUGGGGUUGCUACCCUAUUCUUCUGGGGCUCCACCAUAAAAGUUCUCACCAGUAGUCACCAGUUUGGACUUAUCCUCUUCAUCACCAACUUCAUCAUCUUCCACACUUCGGCCAGGAAAGAAAAAGCCCAUCAUUCUGUGGAAGAACUGGUGUGUCAGCUGGAUGGUGAGAGGCACCACAUUUACCUAAAAAGGAAAAAGAUUCAAGAAGCAAUUAAGCUCAGAUACCAUCAUCAGUUUACCUACUCCUAAUAUCGUGUAACACACAGGUGGCUUUUGAAUGUCCCUUGUUCCCAGGUCCCUAAGGGACUGCUUACUAACCUCAAAAUGCUCCUUAACAGAGAUACCCCCAACAGGGGGCCGAACUUUGCUGAAGAGGCGGAGAGCUAGCUGUCGCCCAGACUGGCAGGAGCUCUGGGGCCGCAGUACUACCUGUAGGAUAGAGAGUAAAGAAGAGCCCAACCCAAUGUCCUUCCUGCCAUAAAGCAACCCACAAAUCCUCUGCAGAAUGAGAGGAGAAGCAAUGGUACUGCUAAGCUGGGCAAGCUUUCACCCUCUCAGAUCACCACAUUGUUUUCCAUAGUGGAUUUAUACUGAAGGGCCGUUAUAAAUGCCCCGUGCUAAAAACAUGCAAAUGGACUAGGAAAGGGGAAAAAAGACUUGCCUUAUAGACAGCAUUGGGGAGGAGGUUGUUCAUGGUAAACCAGCCCAACUCCAGAAGAUGUUCUGCUGUGUCAUCAGACUUAUUCACCUAUAAAGACAGAUUUUGCCCCAUCUACUAUAAUAAACCUUUCUCAGAAGUCUACUA